rnacentral:rRNA from 1 species
UACGGGGGGAGCAAGCGUUGUUCGGAUUUACUGGGCGUAAAGGGCGCGUAGGCGGCCACCGCAAGUCAAUUGUGAAAUCUCCGGGCUUAACUCGGAAAGGUCAACUGAUACUGCAGGGCUAGAGUCCGGAAGAGGCGAGUCGGAAUUCCGUGGUGUAGCGGUGAAAUGCGCCAGAUAUCAGGAGGAACACCGAUGGCGAAGGCAGCUCGCUGGGACGGACUGACGCUGAGGCGCGAAAGCGUGGGGAGCAAACAGG